UACAGAGGUCUCAAGCGUUGUUCGGAUUCAUUGGGCGUAAAGGGUGUGUAGGUGGCGCUGUAAGUCAGGUGUGAAAUUUCGGAGCUUAACUCCGAAACUGCAUUUGAUACUGCGGUGCUUGAGGACUGGAGAGGAGACUGGAAUUCACGGUGUAGCAGUGAAAUGCGUAGAGAUCGUGAGGAAGACCAGUGGCGAAGGCGGGUCUCUGGACAGUUCCUGACACUGAGGCACGAAGGCCAGGGGAGCAAACGGG
rnacentral:rRNA from 1 species